rnacentral:lncRNA from 1 species
UCACAUUAUAAAAUCAAAUAGCUUGAACAAUUAACAAAAACUAUAAACCCGUGCGAGUUACACUGUAGUAAUUAACACAAUUUAUUGUAGAUUGCUACAGUAAAAUUACUUUUUUUUUCUUGAGUGAGGAAAAAAAAGGCUUGAGGCUUGGAAUUCUUUGGUCUUUUCCAUUGGCCCAUUGAUCAUUAAAUGAUUGUUUGGGGGUGAAUGUAUUUUUUUCAUUUGCUUACAUAGUAAAAACACUCUUUUAUCCAUAGAGUAAAAAAACUUUAGAAUUGUAGCUGAAGGAUUUUCUUGACUUUUUACAAUUAUGUUAACAGUUAAAAUACUUUUUUUGACCCUAAUAUCAAAAAAUUAUUGGGCUACUAGACAAGGGUUUUUAGUUUUUCAAUUACCUAUGUAUAGUAAAAACACGCAUUUAACCUUAUAAAAGAUAUUAAAAAAUAAGCUUUGUCUUUCGGGAUAUUUUUGUACUUUCACACAAAUAUUUUGUGUAAUUAACAAGGUCAUGGGGGAUACUUUGGUAUUUUCACAUUUACUUUUGAAUUUUUAAAUCAGAAAAGCUGCUGACACGUGUUCAACACGCGCUAGUGAGUGGGGUGACGUCCGUGCCAUUCAGACGGCGUGGACUUUCUUGACUUUAGAAUUGUAGUUGAAGGACUUUCUUAACUUUUUACAAUUAUGUUAACAGUUAAAAUACUUUUUUUGACCCUAAUAUCAAAAAAUUAUUGGGCUACUAGACAAGGGUUUUUAGUUUUUCAAUUACCUAUGUAUAGUAAAAACACGCAUUUAACCUUAUAAAAGAUAUUAAAAAAUAAGCUUUGUCUUUCGGGAUAUUUUUGUACUUUCACACAAAUAUUUUGUGUAAUUAACAAGGUCAUGGGGGAUACUUUGGUAUUUUCACAUUUACUUUUGAAUUUUUAAAUCAGAAAAGCUGCUGACACGUGUUCAACACGCGCUAGUGAGUGGGGUGACGUCCGUGUCAUUCAGGCGGUGUGGGAGAUGCCACUAGGUAGCAAAAUUC